rnacentral:tRNA from 1 species
AUUUAUAAAGUAAUAUUUUACGUUUAAAUUCGGCUUAAAAAUAUGAUUAAAAUUUAAUCUAUAAAUU